UCUCAUCAUCACAAUUCACAAAUCAGAGAAAGACAGAGUUAUAGAGCGAGAAUUGCAAAUACAAAGUCUGAUUUUAUAGCAUGAUCUUCUUCGAUUCCUGCUUCCUUUACUUCUUCUAUUUUAUAUCUUUUGAUUUGUUGCCGUUGCUUUUCGCCAACAAGAAACGAGAGCGUGAUGGAAGAUGAGCCCUUUGUUUACAAUAACUAGAAGCGAGAUCAUAUGUAUGUGUGUGCGAUCUCUCUUCUACGGAGAAUUCUGACGCGGUGGGGGCUACAUCGUCGACGGAGAUGAUCAAAGAGAAGCAAGCUUGAGAAGGUGGAUAGAUCGGGAUUAGUUAGCCGUUGACGGUUGUCAAAACUAGAGAUCUUUGUGCAAAGCCCAAACAAGAAACAAUUUCGGCCCAUAAAACCAAGGUCAAUUUCAUCCCUUCUCUUUAAUUUUCUUUUAAUGAUAAAACUAAAACUUCUUAUUCGCUAAAGUUUUAAAGUUU
rnacentral:sRNA from 1 species